rnacentral:rRNA from 1 species
AUGCACGCUGGCGGCGUGCCUAAUACCUGCAAGUCGAGCGAACGGACGAGAAUCUUGCUUCUCUGAUGUUAGCGGCGGACGGGUGAGUAACACGUGGAUAACCUACCUAUAAGACUGGGAUAACUUCGGGAAACCGGAGCUAAUACCGGAUAAUAUUUUGAACCGCAUGGUUCAAAAGUGAAAGACGGUCUUGCUGUCACUUAUAGAUGGAUCCGCGCUGCAUUAGCUAGUUGGUAAGGUAACGGCUUACCAAGGCAACGAUGCAUAGCCGACCUGAGAGGGUGAUCGGCCACACUGGAACUGAGACACGGUCCAGACUCCUACGGGAGGCAGCAGUAGGGAAUCUUCCGCAAUGGGCGAAAGCCUGACGGAGCAACGCCGCGGGAGUGAUGAAGGUCUUCGGAUCGUAAAACUCUGUUAUUAGGGAAGAACAUAUGUGUAAGUAACUGUGCACAUCUUGACGGUACCUAAUCAGAAAGCCACGGCUAACUACGUG